rnacentral:rRNA from 1 species
UACGGGGGGGGCAAGCGUUGUUCGGAAUUACUGGGCGUAAAGGGCUCGUAGGUGGCCAACUAAGUCAGACGUGAAAUCCCUCAGCUUAACUGGGGAACUGCGUCUGAUACUGGAUGGCUUGAGAUUGGGAGAGGGAUGCGGAAUUCCAGGUGUAGCGGUGAAAUGCGUAGAUAUCUGGAGGGACACCGGUGGCGAAGGCGGCAUCCUGGACCAACACUGACACUGAGGAGCGAAAGCCAGGGGAGCAAACGGG